AAGCCAAUGAGGAAGUAACUCAUCAAAGUUGGAAUUACCGACUGAAUUCAUGUUGAUGAUAAAUUGAAUUUCUGAGGCUUGUU